rnacentral:rRNA from 1 species
GAUGAACGCUAGCUACAGGCUUAACACAUGCAAGUCGAGGGGCAUCAGGAAGAAAGCUUGCUUUCUUUGCUGGCGACCGGCGCACGGGUGAGUAACACGUAUCCAACCUGCCCUUUACUCGGGGAUAGCCUUUCGAAAGAAAGAUUAAUACCCGAUAGCAUAAUGAUUCCGCAUGGUUUCAUUAUUAAAGGAUUCCGGUAAAAGAUGGGGAUGCGUUCAUUAGUUGUGGUGAGGUAACGCCACGAGCCUUCGAUGGAGUAGGGGUUCUGAGAGGAACGGUCCCCCCA